GACGAACGCUGGCGGCGUGCCUAAUACAUGCAAGUCGAACGCUUCUUUCCUCCCGAGUGCUUGCACUCAAAUGGAAAGAGGAGUGGCGGACGGGUGAGUAACACGUGUGUAACCUACCCAUCAGAGGGGGAUAACACUUGGAAAAAGGUGCUAAUACCGCAUAACAGUUUAUGCCGCAUGGCAUAAGAGUGAAAGGCGCUUUCGGGUGUCGUUGAUGGAUGGACCCGCGGUGCAUUAGCUAGUUGGUGAGGUAACGGCUCACCAAGGCCACGAUGCAUAGCCGACCUGAGAGGGUGAUCGGCCACACUGUGACUGAGACACGGCCCAGACUCCUACGGGAGGCAGCAGUAGGGAAUCUUCGGCAAUGGACGAAAGUCUGACCGAGCAACGCCGCGUGAGUGAAGAAGGUUUUCGGAUCGUAAAACUCUGUUGUUAGAGAAGAACAAGGACGUUAGUAACUGAACGUCCCCUGACGGUAUCUAACCAGAAAGCCACGGCUAACUACGUG
rnacentral:rRNA from 1 species